UGUGGGAGCUGGCUUGCCAGCGAUGGGGCCGGCACAUUCAGCAUCUCUGGUGACUGAUACGCCGCUAUCGCUGGCAAGCCAGCUCCCACA
rnacentral:antisense_RNA from 1 species